ensembl:snoRNA Gm25607 small nucleolar RNA SNORA17
CCUGCCCAUAGAAGCGUUGCAGGUGUGGCUGCUGUGUCACAUGUGCAGCAGUAAGUGGCAGAGAGGAGAGAGGCUAUGCCUACACUCAGCGUUCUGACCUGUCAACAUCGGAAUGAUGCCUAACAUC